rnacentral:lncRNA from 1 species
CAAUGGAAUUAAAGAAAAUGGAAUGACAGCAAAAGGAAUGAAGGAGGUUAUGGAAUAAAACAAAAUGGAAUGAGUAAUCGCAGGAUAACAUUUUGGUGAAGUAAAUGGUAACCUUUUAGCGGAAUAGAAUGGAAUGAAAGUAACUAUAAUUUAAAUCAAAUUACUAAGAAUAUUUGCAGUAUGCUAAUAAAAUAUGUCGAACAUACAAAUGCACUACUUAACUUAAUUACU